UCCAAAAGAUCAUCAAAUUCACCUGUGUUGGAAGAAGUCUUGAUAUUGUUAGAUGCGUAAAAGGAGAAUCCCAACCUACAGCAAAUGCAGUUUUUCAUUUAGCCGUAGAAGUUGAUUUGCAGAAACAAUGAAACUUUGUGAAUAUGUUGUACAUAAGACAUAAUUUAGACCCAAUUUUAAGCAGGAAAGUGAACAGCUGACUCGAUCUUUUUGUCUGCCCAUCACACUCUCAACGGUUACACCCGCAUUUUUUUCCGGGUAUUCACUCUUAGAUAUUAUAAACAAAAUCUUACUACUAUACAGUCUAACUAUUAUCUAUAUAUUCUUAUCAAAAUCCUACUAUACACCACACUCUAUACUGUUAUAACACAAGAAAAUAACUAACUACAGCGACACACUGCAACUUCUACUCUUCGAUAUUCUAAACAAAACCCUACUACUAAAAUAUCUAUUUCUCACCAUCAGGUA